AGAGAAGCCUGGAGGGCUGCAGUGCAUGGGGUCUCAAAAGAGUCGGGCGUGACUUAGCGACUAAGCACCCCCCCAAUGAAAUAGAUGCUGUUACUGCCCCCUUUCACGGACGAGGACAUUGAGGCCCAGAUAAGGGUAACUGUGUUAGGUAUUAUUACGGAAAACAGUGGCGCCAGGGAUCUUACCCAGGGGCCACUGCGGGGUCACGCACAACCUCUGCCCAUCACCCCUGUGUCUCCCUGUGUUUGAGAGCUGCAAGGUUCCACGCCUGUGCCAUAUACUGACAUAAGGAGCUGGCAUAAGGAGUGGCCACAAUGAUAAUUCCACUGAGGACACUCGUGUUCUCAAACACCACUUAGGAGCAAACUUCCAUGACCAAUUCUUCCCAGUGCUCAGAGCCAAGAAAGCAGUUCUUCCUAAACGGUGCUGGGUUUCCCCGUCAGUCUAGAUGUCAGGAAACGCCCAUGUGGCAUUUUAUGUCCAAACUGAGGCCACCUCUUUAGGCAGGCUUCCUAGCAUCACUCCACCCACACCCACCCAGUCCCCCUUGCCACCCCUCCUACUUGAACUUUGAGGCGGUGCUGUGACGUUUGAGGGCCUGUGCCCGCACCUCCUGGUUGGAAGUCCCCUCAAACUCCUUGGGGGAAAGGUUUAGUGAUGAUUCUGACAUAUGUAGAAACCCAGUGUGUGCCCCGUCGAGGUGAGAAGUCAGAAGAACUGUAGUCUUCAGCUGCGGGUAAUCUUAAGGCCCGUGGCCCCCUGGAGGGGGAGGCCACCGUGGUGGUUUUGUCAGCAUGGUGGAAUUUGGGGUAGUUUCUUUUCCUCCGAGAAUUGUCCUCAGUAUCUUUCUUUACAGAAGACUCUUGAAGCUAUCCCUGUGAGGCACGGGACCUUGAGAGCACUUUCCCGUGUGCGUGCCCGGCCGUGCCUUCUCUCGCUGAGGGACAGAAGCCAACCUCGUUCUGUACUGGCCCGGCACCCUCUUCAUCCUCACCCUCACCUCCAGGCUCCAGCUACAUGCGCCUUUUCCCAGUUUCUGAGACCUGAGCCCCAGCUGGGAGCUCCGUAAACGCAGGGACCAGGAGCACUGGCGGCAUCGGCCACCGAGAGCUCAGGGCCUCCCCACUGUCUGCCACGGAGUCAUCCACGCGCCACAGAUCUGCUCGGAAUGCAUGGAGCCGAGAAGCCCCAGGUUUAACCCCUGCCCUCUCACGCCUUUCCCACAGGGCUGCAGACAGGCUCUCUCGCGACCAUUACCUGUUAAGCCUUCCCCUUUGCCCUGCCUGCAGCCCGGCCGAGGCCACGUCCCAGUUUAAGAGCUACCCCACCUCGCUCCCCUCCCCUCCUUCGUGAGGAAAUAUUUCUGUUUUAUGACUAACUCUGCUCCUCAUUUCUCUCGCGUUAUCUUAAUGAAUUAACUGGGUCCCCAUCGUUCCCUGGGGCCCCCCACGGUUUAUGAGCUGUACAGCAAUAUCUGCGAUCUUAGUCAACCCACACAGUUGUUGUGCUGGUUCCUAUUACAGUAAUUGGCAUAAACUUUAUUCUUUUGCAGAGAGAUUCUUUUUUGGCCCACUGAGACUGCAUAACCAUCUGCCAUAAAUUGAGACUAGUACGGCUUAUUUUGGUGAAUGCAGAAUUGGAUCCCAUUCUUUACUCUGUGGCUUGAUUCAACUUCCAGAUGGUUAAUCCACAUGAAGUAAUAGGAAUGCACCACAGCUCUGCUUAGCUGAAGAUGGAGACGUAAUAUUUAUUUGCUGAUGUGGAGGCCUCCGAACGCUGCCCUGUCGGGAUGUCGGUAUAAAACGCAGCAGCACAAAAAUGUCAGCUUGUCCACAGGAGCAACAGUGUUCCUCUGAGUUGCCAUGGGGGAUCCCCGAUGUCAUUUUUUUUUUUCUUCUUCCCGGUCUGCCCUUGACCUAAUCUCAAGAGGUUUUGUUCUCUCCUGGGCUGUUUCUUAUCAGCUAUGUCUGCCCAUGGAGCCGGCUUUGCAUCUGCUUUGACUUUAGUACCUGUGACAUUUUCAUUAAUACUUCUUCAAGGUUGAGCCUUGAUUCCAAAUAUCCUGCAGCUCAGAGAAGCUGAAGCUAGCUGUGCCUGGCUGGGGGGCUGCUGGGAAAAUUGGCCUGGUGGUAUCAACAAGCUUGGACAUCUCCACCCAGUUAGGGUAAUCAAUCUGUUUUCAUUGUUACUGCUCCCCCACCCUAGCUUGCCACAUUGCGGGGAUGGGAUACUCAGAUCUAGGUCAGCAGAUUCAGGAGGCUUAACCCUCAGUUGUGCUUCCACUCCCAGCAGUCUUGACCGCCCUGUCUGGCAGGAUUACACAUCCCCACCAGCCAACCCAGGUGGCUCAAUGGAAAAAGAACCCACUUUCCAAGGCAGGGAGUGUGGGUUCCAUCCCUGGGUCGGGAAGAUCCCCUGGAGAAGGAAAAGGCUAGCCACACAAG